rnacentral:antisense_RNA from 1 species
GCGGCGCGCGCCCGCCGAGCCCUUAAUUGUAAAUUAAGAUUUACUGAUGAUGAUGGGCUAAUUUAAGCUACCGUGGAAAGAGGAAAGAAAUGGAAGCUGCUGAUCGUAGGAAGCAGUACCUGUACUGCGCAAGGUUGCAGUGACCUAACACCAAGAAAUAAAAACUCUGGAAAACUAGCCCUUCACAUAUGGAAGGACCCUCCCAAAGAGCUGGAGCUCCUCUGCCCACAGCCUCCCCCAUCAGACCAGACCUAUGGUAGAAGACAGCAAGGAGUAAACGCUGUUUCCUGUUUUCAUUUUUUUCAACUGGACCACCAGCUACUACAACCCUAGAAAAAUGGAGGCACAGAUAUGUGGGUCCCAGAGCCCUGGGGGAGCUGGAAUGGAUACUUGCUAACACACGGGACACGAGAUUCUCUUUCCUUUGGAAGGGUCCUGUCAUGGCCCUUCUUGGGUUCUGGACUGUCCUACAAUGUCUGACUUUAGUUUCUGUGGAUCAUGAUAAGCAUUAUUCAUUUUUUCCCCCUCAAAUAUCCCACAGCUUCAAACUUACCUGAAUGCAGGUUCCCUGUAAAAACACCAUCAUGUAAUUUGCACAUUAGCAAUCAGUUUGAUGAAUGGCAAAAUCGUUCAAAUGGAAAAGAGGAGAGAGAUAGUGUGGUCUUU